GCGCAUCAGCCAUGGCGCGGUGAAUACGUUCCCGGGCCUUGUACACACCGCCCGUCAAGCCAUGGAAGUCUGGGGUACCUGAAGUCGGUGACCGUAACAGGAGCUGCCUAGGGUAAAACAGGUAACUAGGGCUAAGUCGUAACAAGGUAGCCGUACCGGAAGGUGCGGCUGGAACAUCUCAUUUUAGA
rnacentral:rRNA from 1 species